GCUGGGCGUGGUGGCGCGUGCCUGUAAUCCCAGCUACUCAGGAGGCUGAGGCGGGAGAAUUGCCUGAGCCCAGGAGUCGGAGGUUGCGGUGAGCCGGGAUCGCGCCAUUGCACUCCAGCCUGGGCAACAAGAGCGAAACUCCGCCUCAA
rnacentral:sRNA from 1 species